GCCGAGGUAGCCAAGUGGCCAACGGCGAUGGACUCAAGAUCAAUCAAAAGUCGCCAGACUCUGAUGAGAAAUCCAUUCUUGUAGGAGUUCGUGGGUUCGAAUCCCAUCCUCGGCA
rnacentral:tRNA from 1 species